GAUGAACGCUGGCGGCGUGCCUAAUACAUGCAAGUCGAGCGAACGGACGAGAAGCUUGCUUCUCUGACGUUAGCGGCGGACGGGUGAGUAACACGUGGAUAACCUACCUAUAAGACUGGGAUAACUUCGGGAAACCGUAGCUAAUACCGGAUAAUAUUUUGAACCGCAUGGUUCAAAAGUGAAAGACGGUCUUGCUGUCACUUAUAGAUGGAUCUGGGCUGCAUUAGCUAGUUGGUAAGGUAACGGCUUACCAAGGCAACGAUGCAUAGCCGACCUGAUAGAGGGGUCGCCCACAUGGGAACUGAGACAGGGUCCAGAGGCCUGCGGGAGGCAGCAGAAGGGAAUCUUCCGCAAUGGUCGAAAGCCUGGCGGAGCAGGGCGACGUGAGAGAUGGAGAUCUUCGGAGCGUAAAACUCUGUUAUUAGGGAAAAACAUAUGUGUAAGUAACUGUGCACAGCUUGACGGUACCUAGUCAGAAAGCCACGGCUAACUACGUG
rnacentral:rRNA from 1 species